CCAUUGAAUUCAUUUCACUACAGCAAUAUAGCUUGCUUAUAUUCAAAUAGAUAUAAUUUUUACCCUUAGUAAAUUAACUACACCCACACAAAUAACAAAUUCCUUGAUAUGCACUUUAUCCCCAUCCCUAUAAAUGUUGGUGCAUACCUUAUAAACUAGCAGUUCAGCAACCCAUGGAAUAACUGAAGGCAUUUGUUGGCUAAUCAGGCUCAAAAUAUUUUUCAUUUGCUCUAAAUAUUCCAUUUAACCUGGGUGUUCAGAGAUGUAUUCUCUUGUUAACUACAUAAUUCUUCCUUUGUUAACGACAUGUUUUUGAUAUUACAUAUUCUUAAACCAUUUGAAGAGUCCAUUGUGUAAAAAUUUUGAUGUACAAAUUGUAUAGAUUGGUGGUUGUAUGUCUUAAAACUUGCUUUUCAGUGUGUUGAUACAUUCCCAAGUUUACCUAAUUCAACUUAAGAUUUUAUUCAACACCAAGUCAUAUCCCAGGCACUGCACUAAAUUAUAGACACUAAGGGGAUGAAAAGAGACUUGUUUCUGAUCCAAUAUCUCAGAGAAGGUAGCUUACUGUUUCUGUUAAGAGUUCUACAUGUCUGAGUUGUUUUUCCUCCUUUUUUCCCUUUGUUCUUAUAUUUCAUCAGAAUAAUUCAGCAGGCCUCAAUAAAGGCUCAAAAAUAAUAUUUACGCCCAGGGAAAGCCCAGGACAUCUAGCUUCUCCUAGGCAUUACAGAAGUCAAGGUGUGAAAAUGUUAAGAAAAUGAAAAUCUACAAAACCUUAAAGACCAUUUAUACUUGAUAGUAGCACUAUUUGAUUAAUCUCAGAGGCCAGAUGUUCAGAGAUAAAGCUCUGCAGAUGCUUCUUAAUCCACCAAGGUGGAGUUGGUGGUGCUGAUAUUUAAAUUCAGGUUAUUGCUUCGACCUCAGUUGCUUUGUAAAUGAAGGUGUGACCCCAGAGGAAAGCACACAGUGUGACCUUGGUUGGCAUCCCUCACUGCUCAUGUGACUGCUGUCAAAUGAUUUUUACAUUUAAGCUG
rnacentral:lncRNA from 1 species